UGGCGGUAUCACGUUGAAACACCGGUUCCCGUGCAAUCACCGAUGUCAAGUAAACGUCGAACCUGGUCAGUACCUGGAUGGGUGACUGCUCGGGAAUACUAGGUGC